UCGUGCGCAGAGAGCGCAGCGCUGCCGCGAGGAUCUCUGGGAACUGUAGGCCCAGUUUGUCCGAGCGCCGCAAGUGUUUCAGGACGAAGCAACGCAGGGGCACCUGGGAGUCGUAGGCGGAUGGGCCCAAAGCCUUCCGGGAGUCGUAGUCCUUCCGCCCGCUCCCCGUUUCCUUGGAGGUUGGCCCUUCCAGCUCCAGUUCUGCCCAGGUCACAACGCCGACGACAUGGUGGAGACCGUGCUCAUGAACUUCCUGCGGGGCGGCUGGCCCGGGGCGGGGGCCUGGGCUCUCCGGGCUAGGGGGGCGCCCUGCAGCUCCCCUCCUUCUUGGCAUCUCUGUUGCUCAGUGAAGGUCCCCAAGGGGGUGGAAUCAGCCUACGGUUCUUGGUGUCUCCUCUGCAGCUUUUGACCUGGUCUAUUUGUGGAAAUAGGAGGAUCAUGGAAAUGGAAAUGUUGACCUCUUCCACAAACCAAAAGACAUACGCUCUUCUAGAGUAAGCACAAAAAUUUCAAGAUGAGAGAAGAUCAAAGCAUGAGGAUACAGAGGCAGUUUGUCCUGUACCACAUCUUCAAAUCUCAGACCUGCAGCUUCUAUCCUGCAUAUUUCUCCAAGCUGUACCCCAAAAUGAUGACCAAGGACCUUCUGUGAAGUCACAUUUCCUGCAAUCCUCUUGCCCCUGCACACGCACAGCAGGGGCAACAGCAGCAUCUUGGGUUUGGAGGGGGGUGAGUCUGGGACUCCUGACAUCGCCUGAUGAGUCUCUUCUAUCUGGAGAUCAAGGCAGCUACAGAAAGAGGACAGCUAGAGACUUUUCCUGGAUUGGGCUGCUCCAAGUUCCUCUCUCUGUUAGGAGUCCUCUGCCCUCAAACAACUACCAGAGAAGUGAAAGCUGACCUCCUUUCACCCCAGGCCUACUGAUAACCUGUUCAGUGCCCCCUGCCAUCUCAUUCCUCACUCAGAUGUUGCCUCCUCCAGGCAUCCAUUCCUACCUCUCCUCAGAAAAUGAAUGGGGCAUGCCCCACCUCUUCUCUGUUCACUUGGAACUCGGAGAUCUCUCUCAGAACAGAAGAGUCUAGGAGCCCUGAAACUGAAUCUUCUGCCCCUCCACCCGGUCCUGAUCACACAAGAAGUCACAAGAAGGUGGAACUGAAACUCACCUGCAAGGGGGGCCCUUCAUGGUCAGAGACUGUGACUCAGAACUGAGGCCCUGGCUCCAGCUUCACACUCGACUGUGACGUUUGUGGUUUUUCUGGUGUCAAUCUGAGUUCAGAAAGUCACUGAAUUUUUGUAUGUCUCCUCGCUUAUUCUCAGGUUUCUGAUAAGCCCUUCACUCACACCUUCAGUGUGAGUUUUGACUUCUUAACAGUUCCUCCAGUCCUAUGGGCCUCCCAUCUUCACAGUAUUUAUCAGAUCUCUCCCUCCUUAACCCACAUCCAUUUUACCCUGACAUUGCCUUGCCUCUUCUGCCCUUCAUGACAACUCUCUCCAUCCUGUGGUCCACUGACGCCCCAGGAUCCUUUUCCCAGUAUAAACACUUACCAUUCAUGUAUAAUGAAGGAAAACUUAGAACUUGUUUCUGUGACCCCUCAGCUCCAAAUAUAACUUCACAACCAGCCUUCUGAUAGAUACUUCAUUCCUUCAUUUGAGCUGAUUCAGGAUUUGGUACAGAGUCAGGUGCAGAAAAGGAUCACAUAUCAUGUUCUGUUGUUCAGAACACCAUGACAGGACAAAUAAGGGAUUCAAAGCAAGAGCAAAUUAUCAACUCACUGGAAAAGGAAGGGAGGAAGAGAUGGAACCUGCCACAUAGAAGGUUUCCUGGAAGGAGUGAGGGCAGAGUCAGCCCAGAGAGGCAAGGAUCCCAAUGGCCUGUGAGAAAUGCACCAUCUCUCUAAAGUUAAGUCUUCUCUUCCCUAAAAUGAGGGCGACUUCAGAAGAAGACUGAGGAGGAGUUUGGAUGUCCUCUGACCAGCGCAUCUGUCCUGCAGCACAGAAUGUAACCAACCCUACUUUCCAACCUUCUUACCUCUGCAUUUGAGACAGGCCAGAGUUCUGCCCCCAGGGGGCGCUCCAUCCGCCAUGCCCGAUUUGGGGAACAACUAGCCCAGGGUUUGGCGCUGUCCAUGGUUCUGCACCAUAACCGUGCUCUGAGUUCAGGAAACUCUCAACUCUGCCAUGGACACAAAUUUCCAAGCACACGAUUCUGAGCUGUAGGCCAGCGGGGCACCUAAGUCAGAGAGGCUUCGAAAAGGCUGGGUCCCUUUUGGGAAGGAGAGGCCAGGGAAAGAGACAUAUCGCUGUGCUUUUCCUCUCACUCCUCUUGUUGAGCUAAGGAUCAUUCUUUUGAAUUGUAGUACCGGCCUGGCUAAGGGACAGGGAAGAACAAGGUAUUUUUCUGAGGUUCCAGAUUAUGCUGAUGUUGCCGGCUCUUGGACCACGCUUUAAGUAUAGCAAGUCCGUGCCUGGAUCUCCUCUCGGAUAAGGGUUUAGGAAAGAGAUGGACAUUCACUGAAGCUCCCCAAGUUCCAGACUCAGGGCUGGGCUUUUCCAUCUAUGCCUCAUUUAAUCUUCAUAACCAACCUAAGAGAGGUUUGGUUAAUAAUUCUCAUUUGACGAAGUGGGAAACAGACACUGGAUGUAUAAGCGAUUUCAUGGGGUCUCACAUUAUUGGUUCAUAUAUAUAUGUGUAUGUGUCUGUAUAUAUAUGUAUAUAUAUUUUUUUUUUUUUUUGAGACAAAGUCUCACUCUGUCGCCCAUGCUGGACUGCAGUGUCAUGAUCUCAGCUCACUGCAGUCUCAACCUCCAGGGCACAAGUGAUCCUCCCAUCUCAGCCUCCCGAGUAGCUGGGGCCACAGUCACCUGCCACCAUGCCCAACUCAUUUUUGUUUAUUUUUUGUAGAGAUGGGAUCUUACUAUGUUGCCCAGGCUCUUCUUGAACUCCUGGGCUCAAGCGAUCAACCCAUCUCAGCCUUCCAAGUAGCUAGGACCACAGGCAUGUGCCUCCAUGCCCACUAACAUUUUCUUUUCUUUUUGUAGAGACAGGGUCUCAGUACAUUGCCAGGCUCGUUCCAGACACCUGGGCUCAAGUGAUCCUCCCGCCUCACUCUCCCAAAGUGCUGGGAUUACAGGCAUGAGCCACUGAGCCUGGCGAUAUUUUCCAUUGUGAUGUUGUUAAAUCUAUCAAGAUUUUUGGUAAGAAGGAUGAGUUUUUAUUAACUUUUUGUCAUAUUCUCCUUAAAGAAAAUUAUUUUUUCUUCAAAAAAUUUAUGAAAAGAUGACUAUCAGAAGAUCAGACAUUUCCUAGCUUGCAAUAUUUUUCCAUGUUUGUGUUAUCAAAAAUGUACUUACCAUUCACGUUGUGUAAUCAUCUGUUAUGCUGAGAAAUAGAACAUGCGGGCACCCCGGGAAUCUUAGAACCCCUCUUUGUUUCCCACCUUCCCUGACCUUCUUUAUGAGUGCCACCUUGCUGAUAUUUGGGAUAUUUUUUUCCCUCCCUUUGCCCAUAAGCAUAAUACCUGUAUAUAUAUUCUUAAGCAAGAAUAAUUGCUUUAAACGUUCACACAAGUGGAACAAUGUGAUAAUGUGUAUUUUGUAUGGCCAAAUAGGACUGCACCAGCUUUCCUUUUAUUAAUGUCGGCAUAAUAUACUUUCACUUUUGGCCUUCUCUAUCCUUGUACUUUACGUGUAUAUGUUGUAAAGAUCAUAUACUUGGAAUCCAUCCAAGUGGACUCUGUUUUUAACUGAAGCAUUUAUCCAAUUAUAUUUAACAUAAAUAUCCCAUGUUACAUUUUGUUUUCUGUAUGUGUCACCAAUUCUACAUUACUUUAUUUCUCCUUUUUUUUGUUUUUUUGUUUUUUGUAUUUUUUUGUUUACUAAGUUUUUUUGUUGUUGUUUGGCUUUUUGUUUGUUUGUUUUUUGAGACAAGGUCUCACUCUAUCACUUGGCUCACUGCAGUCUCCACCUUCCGGGCUCAGGUGAUCCUCCUGUCUCAGCCUACCAAGUAGCUGGGACUACAGGCAUAUGCUACCAUGCCUGGCUAAAUUUUUUGUAUUUUUUUGUAAAGCUGUGUUUUGCCAUGUUGCCCAGGCUAUUCUUGAACUCCUGGGCUCAAGUGAUUCUCCACCCCUUGGCCUCUCAAAGUGCUAGCAUUACAGGUGUGAGCCACUGCGCCUGGCUGGUUUACUAAGUUUUUAAUAGUAUGCCUUUAAUGGUCACUAGGUUGAAAGUUAUAUAUUAUGAUUCUGUUCUUUUAGCCAUCAUGAGAAAAAUUUACAGCAUGCAUUAUUAACCUAUCAAAGUCUUUAGUAAAUGAAAACCUCUCUCUCCUCCUGGAUAAUAUAUGGAUAUUAGGACAUGUAAAAUACACUUACCUUGGUACUUAGCCAUUGUGAUUGUCAGGAAUUCUAAACUAUCUUUUGCUUUUAUUAAAGCUCCCCCAUUUACUUGCUCUGAAAGAUCAUUAUUGCUUUCUCUUUUUGAGUUGACUUUACUGAGUAUAGAUUACAAAUUGAUGUUAGAAAUAGUAUUUGACUUCUUCUACUCUCCAGAGUUGCUACUGAUAAUUCAGUUGUCAAUUAAAUGACUUUUCUUUUGAAGGC